rnacentral:rRNA from 1 species
AUUGAACGCUGGCGGCAUGCUUUACACAUGCAAGUCGAACGGUAACAGGCCUUCGGGUGCUGACGAGUGGCGAACGGGUGAGUAAUGCAUCGGAACGUACCCAGAGGUGGGGGAUAACGCAGCGAAAGCUGUGCUAAUACCGCAUGUGAUCUGAGGAUGAAAGCGGGGGACCGAGCAGCAAUGUUUGGCCUCGCGCCUUUGGAGCGGCCGAUGUCGGAUUAGCUAGUUGGUGGGGUAAAGGCCCACCAAGGCGACGAUCCGUAGCUGGUCUGAGAGGACGACCAGCCACACUGGGACUGAGACACGGCCCAGACUCCUACGGGAGGCAGCAGUGGGGAAUUUUGGACAAUGGGCGCAAGCCUGAUCCAGCAAUGCCGCGUGCGGGAAGAAGGCCUUCGGGUUGUAAACCGCUUUUGGCAGGAACGAAACGGUGUCCGCUAAUACCGGGCGCUAAUGACGGUACCUGCAGAAUAAGCACCGGCUAACUACGUG